rnacentral:rRNA from 1 species
CCUACGGGCGGCAGCAGUAGGGAAUCUUUCACAAUGGGCGAAAGUCUGAUGGAGCAACGCCGCGUGCAGGAUGAAGGCCUUCGGGUUGUAAACUUCUUUUAUAAGCGAGAAAUAUGAUGGUAACUUAUGAAUAAGGAUCGGCUAACUACGUGCCAGCAGCCGCGGUCAUACGUAGGAUCCGCGCAUUAUCCGAGGUGACUGGGUGUAGAGAGUUGCGUAGGUGGGAUAAUAAGUAGCGAGGGAAAUCUUGUGGGUCAACCCUUCAGACUACUGGCUAAACUGUUGAGCUCGAGAGCGUUAGGGGAAACUGGAAUUCAUAGUGUAGGAGUGAAAUGCGUAGAUAUCAGAAGGAACACCAAUAGCGAAGGCAGGUUGCUGGGACGGUACUGACACUAAGGCACGAAAGCGUAGGGAGCAAACGGGAUUAGAUACCCGUGUAGUC